UACGAAGGGUGCAAGCGUUACUCGGAAUUACUGGGCGUAAAGCGUGCGUAGGCGGUUCGUUAAGUCCGUUGUGAAAGCCCUGGGCUCAACCUGGGAAUUGCAGUGGGUACUGGCGAGCUAGAGUACGGUAGAGGAUGGUGGAAUUCCCGGUGUAGCGGUGAAAUGCGUAGAGAUCGGGAGGAACACCCGUGGCGAAGGCGGCCAUCUGGACCAGUACUGACGCUGAGGCACGAAAGCGUGGGGAGCAAACAGG
rnacentral:rRNA from 1 species